AGUGACGUCGAGUAACAUAGCAACGAACCAGUGACUUCCGGCUGACAAAAUGGCAGCCCGGUUAACAAACAAUUUUUUUGGUCGGUGAUGUGAUGACGACGUAUAGUCAGGCAUGCUCUCCAUAUGCAUAUACUAGACUUGAGCUAAAAGCUAAGUAAAAGUUGGACUCCAUCUUUGCCUGCUUCCUGGCAUUUGGGUCCACAAUGGUGACGCCUGUACACAAUGGAGCUACACAAGCCAUGGUCCGCAGAGAUCUUCCACAGUAUCAGAGAGAUCUCAUUCUUCGAAGGAAGGAAUUGCGUAUCCUCUGGCAAACUCAUGGAGGCCCGGUGCAGAGCAGGACACUGGACAGAAGCUCCAGCCACUGAAAAGGAGAUGGAGAGGACAACCUGGUGCCACAAAGAGAGAUAGAAGAGAGAGCUGGAAAGAGAGAAAAAGAGUCCAGUUAAGGUAUCCUCCUCCUCCUCUUCACUACAGACUCACACACAUCCCGCGAGGUGGACACGCUCAUGCACGACAUCAUCUUUAUUGUGGAGAGGCUCUAAGCUCCAGUCAGAUGCUCAGCCUGCCACAGAGAGAGAGCAAAAGAAUGGGAAGGCAAGCGCUGUGUCAUCCUACUUUAUCGUAUAGCCCCGCUGGCAGCUUGCUUGCUCACAAGAUGACAGUCGCGGAAAGCUGCUUAAAGGAACGUGGGAUCUGUAGCUGUGCUGUGUCGAGGCUGCUGAGAUGUCAGCCCGCUGUAAAGAGAAGGACUGUCAUGUUAAUAAGCCCUGAGCAGGGUCCUGGUCCUUCUCAGGCCACUUGCUGUGACACAUUGAGAUGAGCUUAAUGUCGCAUAAUAACAAUCACUUGGAUGGGAAGAAACUUGCGGCUGGUUUUGAACAUUUGCAGACUCAGUUCAAAUUUUUGAUCAACCCAUUGUGGGAGGUCAAAACUUGUGGGCGUCAAAUUUUUGCCACACUUGCUUUAUGGCUCCAGAGAAAUUUUCUGAGGAUUGCCUGUUCAGUGUAAACUGAAGUACAGUGGUGCCUUGAUUUUUGAUUUGUUCCUUGACCACCCACGUAACUCACAAUACUCGUAUCUUUCCCGUUUGAAAUGAACCGAAAUGCCAUUAAUCCAUUCGCAUAAAGUAUGGUGAAUCUGCGUCCACAGAUGCACAGCAUUGCUUACCCAUGUACAGUAUGUGUGUGUUGCUGAAGUGCUUCAGCGAAUCAUUUUCCACUAAAAGUUAAAUUCCUGUCUUGGUGCAAGCCAAUCAAAGGCAGAGGAGGGCGGGUUGUCAUACCAUGAAUACAAUGAACACAAUACUUUUUUCCUUACUCGACACAUUUUCGUUGUUGUUAAUAUUAGUGCACAUAUAUAUAUCAAACUCCAUUAUCAAACAAAAGGUUUUAAACAAACAUAACCUCUAAAAUAUUUGUUAAAUUAAAAUAUGUAAAAUUGUUUGAGACUUCACUGUUGUGUCAAGAUGCCAAACAGAAAAGGGGAAACUCUAACUUUAUUUUUCUUAAGUUAAGCAUUGUAUUUGAACACGGAUAACUUUUUAUUGUUAUUUACUUUCUCUUAUUGUGAAAUGCAGCCCUACUUUUAUUUAGUAAAUGAGAGAACAUUACACAGUUGUGCUCAUAUGUUUGAUUACUAGGGCAGAAUUUGUAAGCUGUGUACAAUUCAUUAUUAUACUCUAAUAUCAUUAUAUCAGUGGCAUUAAAAAAACAACAACAAUACUAUCGUAUAUCGUGAACGUUUUUGGGAAAAUAUUUCGUUCUAAAAAUUUGCUUUCAUGUCAGGCCGAAACAUAUCAUGUAUUGAGAGAGAGCAGGAGCAAUGGAUGACUAAAAUAUUGUAAAAACAGUAUAAAAGAUAGAGUAACAACUGUAAUAAAAAUAUCCAAUAUAGUGGGACUGUGACGCAAGAACCAUGAUGUAGUGGAUGAUUACUGUAUUUGUAUUCCGUGACGAUAAAUUGCAGGGACUCAUUGUUUCCAUGACAUUUGCAUCCAUGGUUACAUAGUGUCCAGUGUAAAAUGAUCCAUGCACUUAUUUGAUGCAAAAAUCAGAAGAAAAAAAAAUGCUGUACAUUGUAUUUUAUUUUAUUUUUUGUUGUUGUUUUUUUGCCGACGUUGCAAGCUGUCGUUUCUGUGAUCAGUAGCUUGCGCUCUGGCAAGAACGAGCCAGAAGAUACUGUAAGUCAAUCAUAACGUGUAUUACUGAAAGGACAACGUAAAUUGACUCGGCCGUACCAUUUCUUUAUUCUGGGGCGAGUGGAACUGCGAAAAGACAAAUAAAUUUGUACGCUGUGUUUUUCUGUCUGUGAUAUGUUAAUUAGCCUGUUAAUUUGGGGUUACUUUAAUAAUAGCACUUUCCUUUCUUGGUGAAUAUUAAUGUCAGAAAAUCAUUAUAACAGUUUUUAUAUCAGUGCAUUGGGAACCCUGCACGUUAUAUUGUAAAUCAAAACAUGAAGAAGAAUGUAACAAUUCAAUUACUUUCAGAAAAUCAAUAUUGGGCUGUUAAAAAAAAGGCAAUGUAUGUGGAAGAUGUAAAAUAUUUACUGUAUGAACUGGAAAAUCUUUAUGAUUUAGCAUUCCUGUGAAUCACUAAACUAAUAUUUUUAUGUAACCACUUUUUUCUGAGGACUGCUUUGCAUGUGUGUUGCAUGGAAUAAACCAACGUCUCUUCACGACCGGUGAAAAGGUUUUUACAUCAGAUUGCGAUUAAGGAUUAGUGUUCACAGGAUCGUUGCAUAUAUGUUGGUGCACUCUCGGAUCAGGACUUCCAAUCAAAGAUGAGGUGAGGUCAUGCUUGUGCUUACAUGGCCUCCUUGUCUGUGAGCCAGCAUGCAAACUGUCUAUCCUCCAACCAUCACCAUAAUGAGGACAAAAACAAACCUGGAGGACACUAUAGAGUGAUUCACCUUUAAAAGCACCUCAGUGCUCUGUGCUUGUUCCAACAUUCUCUGUCCUCUGCGUUCAUGCCAGCUUUGCAUGCCGUGGUCACUGACAGUAUGCGAGCUGUGCAAAGAGUGUAACUCGAAAUCGUA